ACUCCUACGGGAGGCAGCAGUGGGGAAUUUUGGACAAUGGGCGAAAGCCUGAUCCAGCAAUGCCGCGUGAGUGAAGAAGGCCUUCGGGUUGUAAAGCUCUUUUGUCAGGGAAGAAACGGUGAGAGCUAAUAUCUUUUGCUAAUGACGGUACCUGAAGAAUAAGCACCGGCUAACUACGUGCCAGCAGCCGCGGUAAUACGUAGGGUGCAAGCGUUAAUCGGAAUUACUGGGCGUAAAGCGUGCGCAGGCGGUUUUGUAAGUCUGAUGUGAAAUCCCCGGGCUCAACCUGGGAAUUGCAUUGGAGACUGCAAGGCUAGAAUCUGGCAGAGGGGGGUAGAAUUCCACGUGUAGCAGUGAAAUGCGUAGAUAUGUGGAGGAACACCGAUGGCGAAGGCAGCCCCCUGGGUCAAGAUUGACGCUCAUGCACGAAAGCGUGGGGAGCAAACAGGAUUAGAUACCCCUGUAGUCCCA
rnacentral:rRNA from 1 species